GAAGUUUCCCCCCUAGCAGUAUCCGUAGGGGAGUGUCCCUCGCAACACCUGGAGUGGCGCCUCCACGGCAUGGUAUAGGGGGCACUGUGCGCUCCCCCCACCCUCAGUUCAUUCUUGCCAGACAACUCCCCCAGAGGGGAAGGAGGGCGGGAUGUGGAAUAGAUGUGAGCAACACAUCUCGAAGAACACCAGUUCAGGAAAAAGGAACUGUCUUUUCUUCUUUGAGUGAUUGCUCAUGUGCAUUCCACAAUAGGCGAUUCCAAGCUAUAUCUGUUGGAGGUGGGUAAGAGUUCACAGACACUUGGGACAGAGUACAGCUCCGCGAACCCAGCCACCUCCCUGUUGGGAGACGAUUGCAAAAUGUGAGGUGAAAGCGUGAACCAAAGACCAUGUGGCAGCCCUACAAAUGUCCUGAAUGGGGACAUGGGCCAGAAAGGCAGCCAACAAGGCUUGUGCCCUAGUCAAGUGCGCCCUCACAAUCGGUGGCAGGGGGACUCUCGCCAGGUCGUAACAGGUACGAAUACAAGAGAUGAUCCAGUUGGAGAGCCAAUGAGUGGAGAUCAGCCAACCUCUCAUGCAUUUGGCUGAGGCGAUGUAAAGCUGCAAGGACUUCCUGAACGGCUUUAUAUGUUGUAGGUAAAAGGCUAGAGCCCAUCUCACAUCCAGCAUGUGGAGGCGGUGCUCCCCACUGGACACGUGGGACUUGGGACAGAGCACCGGCAGGAAAAUGUCCUGACCCAUAUGGCAGGUGGAGACCACCUUGGGGAGGAAUGAGGGAUGUGGUUGGCGCUGGACCUUUUCCUUAUGCAACACCGUGUAUGGGUGUUCAGAGGUCAGGGCCCAGAGCUCUGAGACCUAUCUAGCGGAUGUGAUCGCCACCAGGAAGUUAGCUUCCACGAGAGGUAAGACCAGGAGCAUGUAGCUAGCAGUUUAAAUGGGGGACCUGUCAACCUGGUCAGCACCAAGUUCAGGUCCCACUUAGGGGACUGGGGGCCUAACAUACAGGAAGAGACGAUCCAAACCCCUACGGAAUUGGCCAGUCAAAGCAUGGGAGAACACCGUGUGGCCCUGCACUGGCAGGUGGAAGGCCUAUAUGGCCGCCAAGUGCACCUUGACAGACGAGGGCACUAGGCCUUGGGCUCUAAAGGUGAAGGAGAUAGUCUAAAAUGAGCUGAAUCGGAGUGGCCACAGGCCUUGAUCAGCUGUUCACCAGGAAAACCAAGACUACUUUGCCAGGUAGGCCCGAUGUGUGGAGGGCUGUCUGCUUUCCGGGAGGACGUGCUGAACCCUUUCCAAGCAAGUCCUCUCCUCCCGGCCUAACCAUUGAGCAGCCACGCCGUGAGGUGGAGCGCUGCCAGGCUGGGGUGGAGGCAGUGGCCCUGGUUCUGGGAUAGCAGAUCCGGGCGGGAUGGCAACAGCCAUGGUGGGGCAACUGCCAGGCUCGUGAGAGUCCCAUACCAAUGCUGCCUGGGCCACGCUGGGGCAAUCAGGAGGACCCAGGCCCUGUCCGUUUUUAUCUUCUCCAAGACCUUGCUGAUCAGCGGGAUCGGGGGGAAGGCAUAGAGAAACUGACCCAACCAGGAUAGGGGGAAGGCAUCGGAGAUGGUGCCCUUGUCCAACCCCCACAAGAGCAGAAGCUGGGACACCGGUGGUUCUGCCAUGUCACAAACAGGUCCACCUAGGGAGUGCCCCACACUUGGAAAAUGCUGUGCACCACCUCUGGGUGUAGCAACCACUCGUGCUGAGAGGAGAAGUGUUGGCUCAGGCGAUCCGCCCAAGAGUUCUGGGUGCCUGGCCCAGAGUGGUGCAGGUGGACAGAAGUAGUGCCACAGGACCCCGCACCUGCAACCUGGAGCUGCCCUUGACCAGCCAGUCGUCGAGAUAGGGGAAGAUCUGGAACCCAUGACGUCUGAGGGCCUUGCCAUCGAAUGGAAGGUCCUGUAAGGAGUUCUGUGCCUCACUAGACAGCCCAGACAGCAGGAGCCAUGACGCCCUCCUCAUGGACACCACAGAGGGCAUAGACCUUGCAGCUGUAUCUGUGGCAUCUGAAGCUGCCUGAAGGGCCGCCCUAGCAGCAGCCCCACCCUCUUCCAGGAGAGUCUUGAACCCCUUUUUUGUCAUGCUCUUAGAGGGAGUCCUCAAAUUUGGGCAGAGAGCCCCACAAAUUGAACUCAUAUCUCCCCAGUAGGGCUUGGUGGUUCGCUACCCUCAGUUGGAAACUCGAGGACAAAUAAACCUUCCUCCUGAAUAGA